rnacentral:rRNA from 1 species
UGGGGAAUUUUGGACAAUGGGCGCAAGCCUGAUCCAGCCAUGCCGCGUGCGGGAAGAAGGCCUUCGGGUUGUAAACCGCUUUUGUCAGGGAAGAAAUCUUCUGAGUUAAUACCUCGGGAGGAUGACGGUACCUGAAGAAUAAGCACCGGCUAACUACGUGCCAGCAGCCGCGGUAAUACGUAGGGUGCAAGCGUUAAUCGGAAUUACUGGGCGUAAAGCGUGCGCAGGCGGUUUUGUAAGACAGAGGUGAAAUCCCCGGGCUCAACCUGGGAACUGCCUUUGUGACUGCAAGGCUUGAGUGCGGCAGAGGGGGAUGGAAUUCCGCGUGUAGCAGUGAAAUGCGUAGAUAUGCGGAGGAAUACCGAUGGCGAAGGCAAUCCCCUGGGCCUGCACUGACGCUCAUGCACGAAAGCGUGGGGAGCAAACAGGAUUAGAUACCCCUGGUAGUCCACGCCCUAAACGGAUGUCAACUGGUUGUUGGGAAGGUUCCUUCUCAGUAACGUAGCUAACGCGUGAAGUUGACCGCCUGGGGAGUACGGCCGCAAGGUUGAAACUCAAAUGAAUUGACGGGGUCAUAGCUGUUUCCUG